rnacentral:rRNA from 1 species
UUGAAGAGUUUGAUCAUGGCUCAGAUUGAACGCUGGCGGCAGGCCUAACACAUGCAAGUCGAACGGUAACAGGAAGCAGCUUGCUGCUUCGCUGACGAGUGGCGGACGGGUGAGUAAUGUCUGGGAAACUGCCUGAUGGAGGGGGAUAACUACUGGAAACGGUGGCUAAUACCGCAUAACGUCGCAAGACCAAAGAGGGGGACCUUCGGGCCUCUUGCCAUCAGAUGUGCCCAGAUGGGAUUAGCUUGUUGGUGAGGUAACGGCUCACCAAGGCGACGAUCCCUAGCUGGUCUGAGAGGAUGACCAGCCACACUGGAACUGAGACACGGUCCAGACUCCUACGGGAGGCAGCAGUGGGGAAUAUUGCACAAUGGGCGCAAGCCUGAUGCAGCCAUGCCGCGUGUAUGAAGAAGGCCUUCGGGUUGUAAAGUACUUUCAGCGGGGAGGAAGGUGUUGUGGUUAAUAACCGCAGCAAUUGACGUUACCCGCAGAAGAAGCACCGGCUAACUCCGUGCCAGCAGCCGCGGUAAUACGGAGGGUGCAAGCGUUAAUCGGAAUUACUGGGCGUAAAGCGCACGCAGGCGGUCUGUCAAGUCGGAUGUGAAAUCCCCGGGCUCAACCUGGGAACUGCAUUCGAAACUGGCAGGCUUGAGUCUUGUAGAGGGGGGUAGAAUUCCAGGUGUAGCGGUGAAAUGCGUAGAGAUCUGGAGGAAUACCGGUGGCGAAGGCGGCCCCCUGGACAAAGACUGACGCUCAGGUGCGAAAGCGUGGGGAGCAAACAGGAUUAGAUACCCUGGUAGUCCACGCCGUAAACGAUGUCUACUUGGAGGUUGUGCCCUUGAGGCGUGGCUUCCGGAGCUAACGCGUUAAGUAGACCGCCUGGGGAGUACGGCCGCAAGGUUAAAACUCAAAUGAAUUGACGGGGGCCCGCACAAGCGGUGGAGCAUGUGGUUUAAUUCGAUGCAACGCGAAGAACCUUACCUGGUCUUGACAUCCACGGAAGUUUUCAGAGAUGAGAAUGUGCCUUCGGGAACCGUGAGACAGGUGCUGCAUGGCUGUCGUCAGCUCGUGUUGUGAAAUGUUGGGUUAAGUCCCGCAACGAGCGCAACCCUUAUCCUUUGUUGCCAGCGAUUAGGUCGGGAACUCAAAGGAGACUGCCAGUGAUAAACUGGAGGAAGGUGGGGAUGACGUCAAGUCAUCAUGGCCCUUACGACCAGGGCUACACACGUGCUACAAUGGCGCAUACAAAGAGAAGCGACCUCGCGAGAGCAAGCGGACCUCAUAAAGUGCGUCGUAGUCCGGAUUGGAGUCUGCAACUCGACUCCAUGAAGUCGGAAUCGCUAGUAAUCGUGGAUCAGAAUGCCACGGUGAAUACGUUCCCGGGCCUUGUACACACCGCCCGUCACACCAUGGGAGUGGGUUGCAAAAGAAGUAGGUAGCUUAACCUUCGGGAGGGCGCUUACCACUUUGUGAUUCAUGACUGGGGUGAAGUCGUAACAAGGUAACCGUAGGGGAACCUGCGGUUGGAUCACCUCCUU